rnacentral:rRNA from 1 species
GACGAACGCUGGCGGCGUGCCUAAUACAUGCAAGUCGAACGCAUUUUCUUUCACCGUAGCUUGCUACACCGAAAGAAAAUGAGUGGCGAACGGGUGAGUAACACGUGGGUAACCUGCCCAUCAGCGGGGGAUAACACUUGGAAACAGGUGCUAAUACCGCAUAAUUCCAUUUACCGCAUGGUAGAUGGGUGAAAGGCGCUUUUGCGUCACUGAUGGAUGGACCCGCGGUGCAUUAGCUAGUUGGUGGGGUAACGGCCUACCAAGGCUGCGAUGCAUAGCCGACCUGAGAGGGUGAUCGGCCACACUGGGACUGAGACACGACCCAGACUCCUACGGGAGGCAGCAGUAGGGAAUCUUCGGCAAUGGACGCAAGUCUGACCGAGCAACGCCGCGUGAGUGAAGAAGGUUUUCGGAUCGUAAAACUCUGUUGUUAGAGAAGAACAAGGAUGAGAGUGGAAAGUUCAUCCCUUGACGGCAUCUAACCAGAAAGCCACGGCUAACUACGUG